UCCAUCACCAUCAUCAGUGGAUGCCUUUGCCGUCUGUAGCCUGAGAUUUCAGAUUUGCAGCAAAAAAAAAUUAUUUUCUCAUUUAUUGGAAUGCUAUGCAGGUUGUACCUUGCAGCCAUCCAUUACAAUGUCACCAAGCCGUAACAAAAGCAGGAGAGGGAAAGUACAAGGCUAUGUUCCCAAAACACACAAGUGACAUACCUUAUGUGGAUGAUGUGAUCAGGCUUGUGUUUGAUGAGGUAUUUGAAGAUAAGCUGAAGGAAACCCCGAUUACAAUGGACCUGGCAUCACAGUUUGAGAGACCUUCAAAGGAGGACGUGAUUGCAUGCCAUCUUCAGUG